UACAGAGGUCUCAAGCGUUGUUCGGAUUCAUUGGGCGUAAAGGGUGCGUAGGUGGCGUGGUAAGUCGGAUGUGAAAUCCCGGGGCUCAACCCCGGAACUGCAUUCGAUACUGCCUUGCUAGAGUACUGGAGAGGAGAUUGGAAUUUACGGUGUAGCAGUGAAAUGCGUAGAUAUCGUAAGGAAGACCAGUGGCGAAGGCGGAUCUCUGGACAGUUACUGACACUGAGGCACGAAGCCAGGGGAGCAAACGGG
rnacentral:rRNA from 1 species